ACUGCUCAGUAACACGUGGAUAACCUGCCCUUGGGACCGGCAUAACCCCGGGAAACUGGGGAUAAUUCCGGAUAACGCAUAUUUGCUGGAAUGCUUUAUGCGUCAAAAGGAUUCGUCUGCCCAAGGAUGGGUCUGCGGCCUAUCAGGUUGUAGUGGGUGUAAUGUACCUACUAGCCAGCGACGGGUACGGGUUGUGAGAGCAAGAGCCCGGAGAUGGAUUCUGAGACAUGAAUCCAGGCCCUACGGGGCGCAGCAGGCGCGAAAACUUUACAAUGCGGGAAACCGUGAUAAGGGGACACCGAGUGCCAGCAUCAUAUGCUGGCUGUCCGGAUGUGUAAAAUACAUCCGUUAGCAAGGGCCGGGCAAGACCGGUGCCAGCCGCCGCGGUAACACCGGCGGCCCGAGUGGUGAUCGUGAUUAUUGGGUCUAAAGGGUCCGUAGCCGGUUUGGUCAGUCCUCCGGGAAAUCUGAUAGCUCAACUAUUAGGCUUUCGGGGGAUACUGCCAGACUUGGAACCGGGAGAGGUAAGAGGUACUACAGGGGUAGGAGUGAAAUCUUGUAGUCCCUGUGGGACCACCUGUGGCGAAGGCGUCUUACCAGAACGGGUUCGACGGUGAGGGACGAAAGCUGGGGGCACGAACCGGAUUAGAUACCCGGGUAGUCCCAGCCGUAAACGAUGCUCGCUAGGUGCCAGGCAUGGCGCGACCGUGUCUGGUGCCGCAGGGAAGCCGUGAAGCGAGCCACCUGGGAAGCACGGCCGCAAGGCUGAAACUUAAAGGAAUUGGCGGGGGAGCAC
rnacentral:rRNA from 1 species